UACGUAGGUCCCGAGCGUUGUCCGGAUUUAUUGGGCGUAAAGCGAGCGCAGGUGGUUUAUUAAGUCUGGUGUAAAAGGCAGUGGCUCAACCAUUGUAUGCAUUGGAGACUGGUAGACUUGAGUGCAGGAGAGGAGAGUGGAAUUCCAUGUGUAGCGGUGAAAUGCGUAGAUAUAUGGAGGAACACCAGUGGCGAAAGCGGCUCUCUGGUCUGUAACUGACGCUGAGGUUCGAAAGCGUGGGUAGCAAACAGG
rnacentral:rRNA from 1 species